rnacentral:tRNA from 2 species
GUCGGGGUGGCGGAAUUGGCAGACGCGUAUGACUCAGAAUCAUAUGGAUAUUCAUCCAUGCGGGUUCAAGUCCCGUCCCCGACACCA